rnacentral:rRNA from 1 species
UACGGAGGGUGCAAGCGUUAUCCGGAUUCACUGGGUUUAAAGGGUGCGUAGGCGGCUAGGUAAGUCCGUGGUGAAAUCCUGCAGCUUAACUGCAGAACUGCCGUGGAUACUAUUUAUCUUGAAUGUCGUGGAGGUUAGCAGAAUAUGUCAUGUAGCGGUGAAAUGCUUAGAUAUGUCAUAGAAUACCCAUUGCGAAGGCAGCUAACUGCGCGAUGAUUGACGCUGAGGCACGAAAGCGUGGGGAGCAAACAGG